rnacentral:rRNA from 1 species
UGCCCCCGCUCACUGGGACUGAGACACUGCCCAGACACCUACGGGUGGCUGCAGUCGAGAAUCUUCGGCAAUGGGCGCAAGCCUGACCGAGCGACGCCGCGUGCGGGAUGAAGGCCUUCGGGUUGUAAACCGCUGUCGAGGGGGAUAAAGUGCAAGUGGGUACUCCCAUUUGUUUGAUAGAUCCCUGGAGGAAGCAUGGGCUAAGUUCGUGCCAGCAGCCGCGGUAAGACGAACCAUGCAAACGUUAUUCGGAUUCACUGGGCUUAAAGCGUGCGUAGGCGGUCUUGUUAGUCAGGUGUGAAAGCCCUCAGCCCAACUGAGGAAUUGCGCUUGAUACUGCAUGACUUGAGAAUGAUAGAGGUGGGUGGAACUGAUGGUGGAGCGGUGAAAUGCGUUGAUAUCAUCAGGAACACCAGUGGCGAAGGCGACCCACUGGGUCAUUUCUGACGCUGAGGUACGAAAGCUAGGGUAGCGAACGGGAUUAGAUACCCCGGUAGUCCUAGCCGUAAACGAUGAGCACUAGAUCGGGGGCCUCCACAGGCUCCUGGUCGUAGCGAAAGUGUUAAGUGCUCCGCCUGGGGAGUAUGGUCGCAAAGGCUGAAACUCAAAGAAAUUGACGGGGGCUCACACAAGCGGUGGGAGGAUGUGGCUUAAUUCGAGGCUACGCGAAGAACCUUAUCCUGGUC